CAGCAGCCGCGGUAAUACGAAGGGGGCUAGCGUUGCUCGGAAUCACUGGGCGUAAAGGGUGCGUAGGCGGGUCUUUAAGUCAGGGGUGAAAUCCUGGAGCUCAACUCCAGAACUGCCUUUGAUACUGAAGAUCUUGAGUUCGGGAGAGGUGAGUGGAACUGCGAGUGUAGAGGUGAAAUUCGUAGAUAUUCGCAAGAACACCAGUGGCGAAGGCGGCUCACUGGCCCGAUACUGACGCUGAGGCACGAAAGCGUGGGGAGCAAACAGGAUUAGAUACCCCAGUAGUCCCUGUCUCUUAACA
rnacentral:rRNA from 1 species